CUCAUUGUCCAAAAAAACCCCGAGACCCGGCGAGAAAAAGCUGCGAUUUGGGGCAUUCCUGGCGUUUCUGGCUCAGCCCAGCUGGAAAAGGAGGUGGCUGCGCUCCGGGAGAAGAUCCAUCACCUGGACGACAUGCUCAAGAGCCAGCAGCGGAAAGUCCGGCAGAUGAUCGAGCAGCUCCAGAAUUCCAAGACGGUGAUCCAGGCCAAGGACGCGGCGAUCCAGGAGCUGAAGGAAAGGGUUUCCUACCUGGAAGCGGAGAACCUGGAGAUGCACGACCGGAUCGAGCACCUGAUCGAGCAGCAAGUGAGCCGGGGCGGGCUCAGCGCCCGGGCGCGCUCCAAGUCGGAAUACGUCAGCAGCAAACGCCUUCCGGGCCCGAAGCCGCUGCCCCUGAUCCGAGUGGUGGAAACUUGAAUCCCAGGAUCUGGGCCCAGCCGGAUCCUUCCCCUUUGGAAUGGUUUGACUGGAAUUCCCUGCUGGACUCGCAGCUCUUCCUGAGGGAAGAGGUUUGGGAUCGCCCAGGGCGGGAUCCCGGCGCAGAUUCCGGGCUGGAAUCGGGAGUUUUCCCCCUCUGCAGCGUGGCUGAGGCGAUUUUCCAGCCGGAUCUCUCAAUUCCCGCUCGUCCCGGGUGGCCAAUGUGGCUUCCAGAGAGUUUUCCCAACCGGAUUCGACACAGAUUCAGGAUUUCACCUUUUUUUGGGAGUUUUUCCAAAUCAAAAUCCGAAGAUUCCACCCUUUUCCCAAAGAAAAAUUCCUCCUUCCCGCAGCAAAGAGCUGGGAGCCGCCACCUCCGACCUCCAGCACCACCCCUGGACUUGGAAAAUCCUCACCCAGCCCCAAAGAUUCCAUGUUUUCCCUCAGAAUUCCCUGCUUUUCCCCCAAAUUAUACCUGGCACAGGCGUCGCGUCGGAAUCCCGCGAUUUUGGGUUUCAUUCCCUGUAUUUAUUUCCAUAAAUUAUCGGCGUCUCCCGGCGAGGCGGGGACGGGCACAGGCUGGAAUUCCCGGGAAUGCUGGCCCAGGACUGCCCAACCCCACGUUUGACCCGGGAGGCACCAACCGGGAUCCCUCUGGAUUCCCUUGGAAUUUUUUAUUCCCGGUUUUCAUAUAAAAAAACAAUUCCGUCUGCUUUAAUCCCUGCUGGCUGUGGUUGGUUGGAAAGAUUGGGAAUUUGGGGGUUUUUUCCAGCUUUUUUUUGGGGUCUUUUGGGGUCUUUCCAGGUCCUGAUUCCGUGGGAACGGGAUCAGGCUGUGUCCCGACACUCCGGGAUUCGGAAUUUUCCUGUUCCCAGAACCUGGGCGGGGGGGAGGUGGCCAGGAUUUGGGUGGGAUUUUGGGGGAUCUUGGAUCCACCUCUGGAUCCCCAAAAUUCCUCUCCAAAGGGUCUGGACCCCCGGGAUCCACAGAUUCCCUGGGAGUGAGGCCUGGGGACACCCGCGACCGUCGGGAAUGACCAAGAGAGAGAAAAAGACAGAAAAACGUAGAAAAAGGGAGAAAAAAAUAAGAGAAAAAGAGAGAAAAAGAAAAAGAAAGUCAGGAGU
rnacentral:lncRNA from 13 species